rnacentral:rRNA from 1 species
UGGGGGAUAUUGCACAAUGGGCGAAAGCCUGAUGCAGCGACGCCGCGUGGGGGAUGAAGGCUUUCGGGUUGUAAACCUCUUUCGCUAUCGAACAAGGCCCGCUUAGGGUGGGUUGAGGGUAGGUGGAGAAGAAGCGCCGACUAACUACGUGCCAGCAGCCGCGGUAAUACGUAGGGCGCGAGCGUUGUCCGGAAUUAUUGGGCGUAAAGGGCUUGUAGGCGGCUUGUUGCGCCUGCUGUGAAAACGCGGGGCUUAACUUCGCGCGUGCAGUGGGUACGGGCAGGCUUGAGUGUGGUAGGGGUGACUGGAAUUCCAGGUGUAGCGGUGGAAUGCGCAGAUAUCUGGAGGAACACCGAUGGCGAAGGCAGGUCACUGGGCCAUUACUGACGCUGAGGAGCGAAAGCAUGGGUAGCGAACAGG